GCAAAUACCUCGCCGGUGAUUCAGCGCCGCGGCCCGGGACGCGGGGAGGGGUCUCGGGAGGCCCCCUCCCCCUUCCCCGAAGCCCCCUCGCGCCCCGCGCUCGGUCCGGCGACGCGCCACCGGCCCCGGGGCUGUUGGGGAGGGGGGGGAAGACUGGACGGAAAUUUUCAAGUCGCGGCCCCUUUAAAUGAUAAUAAAUAAUAAAAGGAAGGGGAACAGCGACGCGGGACGCCCCGCCCCCUGCCUAGGGAAGGUGGGCAAAGUGCGCGCCGCGGCCCCGAGCGCACAGGGCGCCCAGGGCGCGGGCGGGGCUGGGAGCGCCCGCGGGGGAGGGGAGGGGGGCUGGGCCUCCGCCCGGGCGGCCGCGGAAGGGUGGGGGCCUCGAGCCGGGUCGACGACCCCCUCCCCCAUCUCACCGAGCACCUAGGAGGGGCCUGCCGGGCUCGGAGUUUCACCCCUGCCCCUUAGACACGGCGCCCGGCAGCCGAGCCCCGGUUUGCAGCCCCAGGAGGGAGCUGGGAAUUGAUACAGACUUGCUGGCUCCACUGGGGUGGGCGGCAGGCCCAGGUUCCAGCUGCGUCCUGGCUGUGUGAUCUUAGGUUGCCUGUCGCUGGGAGCCAGGGUCCGGGAGAAUGUCAUCCUAACUUCUUUGAAAAUGAGAAGAAAAAAACCACGUCCCUCCCUGCUUGGAAGCCUCCCAUGGCUCCCGUCGCCCACCUACGGGAAAGACCCAACUCAUCUCCGCUGCUGGCAAGCCCUUUCUACUGCUGCCACUUUGCAGCUCCCUGGGUCGUUUGCCACUUAUUGGCCCCGUGGACGACUAGCCAGGGGCUCCAUGUGAGGCGAGGUGUGGGGGGCGGUGGCUACCUGGCACGGGGAACAGUGCCCAGCUGAAAGGACAAGGACAUAAUUGUAGCCUCUCCUGCAGAGCCAUCUCCCAUCGUUCCCUUCACCAGCUGCCCCGACAGUAACUCAGCAGCGUUUUGCAAAACCGGGGCACGGCAUGGCCACCAGGAGGCCCACACUGAGGCCACCCUCCCAUCUGACCCAGAUCUUCUUUUCCUGGGACCUGUGAGCGUGGUUAGCUCUCUGCGACUUUGUCACCUGGCUGCUACCCAGAUGGAACCAGACAUUGUGUCACCCGUGGGUCCUUCAUGCUUGCCGAGAUUCCCGGAGAGCCACGUGGGGUGUUGCGUGUGUCCGUGGCAUGUUCUCGACCUUGUGCUGCUGAGCGGUGCUCCGUGGGAUGCAUGCACCACAGCGGGUUUCACCCCCCACCUGCCAAAGGACGCCUGGGGUGUCCCCAGUUUGGGGCUUUUGAUAAUAAAGCUGCUGCCGAC
rnacentral:lncRNA from 1 species